AGUUUAGCAGCCCUUAUUCCUCUGGUACCGUCAUUUGUUCUUCCCAGAGAAAAGGCACUUUACACCCCAAGGGGCGUCAUCAUGCACGCGGCGUCGCUCCUUCAGCCUUUCGGCCAUUGAGGAAGAUUCUUGA
rnacentral:rRNA from 1 species